AACGAACGCUGGCGGCAUGCCUAACACAUGCAAGUCGAACGAGACCUUCGGGUCUAGUGGCGCACGGGUGCGUAACGCGUGGGAACCUGCCCUUAGGUUCGGAAUAACUCCCCGAAAGGGGUGCUAAUACCGGAUAAUGUCUUCGGACCAAAGAUUUAUCGCCUUUGGAUGGGCCCGCGUUGGAUUAGCUAGUUGGUAGGGUAAAAGCCUACCAAGGCGACGAUCCAUAGCUGGUCUGAGAGGAUGAUCAGCCACACUGGGACUGAGACACGGCCCAGACUCCUACGGGAGGGAGCAGUGGGGAAUAUUGGACAAGGGGCGAAAGCCUGAUCCAGCAAUGCCGCGUGAGUGAUGAAGGCCUUAGGGUUGUAAAGCUCUUUUACCCGGGAUGAUAAUGACAGUACCGGGAGAAUAAGCGCCGGCUAACUCCGUG
rnacentral:rRNA from 1 species